rnacentral:rRNA from 1 species
UACGUAGGGUGCGAGCGUUAAUCGGAAUUACUGGGCGUAAAGCGUGCGCAGGCGGUUCGUUAAGUCAGAUGUGAAAGCCCCGGGCUCAACCUGGGAACUGCAUUUGAAACUGGCGGGCUUGAGUGUGGCAGAGGGGGGUGGAAUUCCAGGUGUAGCGGUGAAAUGCGUAGAUAUCUGGAGGAACACCGGUGGCGAAGGCGGCAUCCUGGACCGGCAUUGACGCUGAGGCGCGAAAGCCAGGGGAGCAAACGGG